rnacentral:rRNA from 1 species
CCUACGGGUGGCAGCAGUGAGGAAUAUUGGUCAAUGGGCGCGAGCCUGAACCAGCCAAGUCGCGUGAGGGAAGACGGUCCUAUGGAUUGUAAACCUCUUUUGUCGGGGAGCAAAAGACGCCACGCGUGGCGUUCCGUGAGUACCCGAAGAAAAAGCAUCGGCUAACUCCGUGCCCGCAGCCGCGGUAAUACGGAGGAUGCGAGCGUUAUCCGGAUUUAUUGGGUUUAAAGGGUGCGCAGGCGGAAGAUCAAGUCAGCGGUAAAAUUGAGAGGCUCAACCUCUUCGAGCCGUUGAAACUGGGUUUCUUGAGUGAGCGAGAGGUAUGCGGAAUGCGUGGUGUAGCGGUGAAAUGCAUAGAUAUCACGCAGAACUCCGAUUGCGAAGGCAGCAUACCGGCGCUCAACUGACGCUGAUGCACGAAAGUGUGGGUAUCGAACAGGAUUAGAUACCCUAGUAGUC